UCCCAUAUUAUUAAAUUUAGAUUUGAUUAUUAUAAAUCUAUUUGUCUAGAUAUUAUUGUUGCCUCUAAUUGAAUAUUGAUGUGAUUAUGUGAAUAGUUGUAUGUGAUUAUACUUGUUUCGUGGAUUAAUAUGGAUUUUACAGAUUCUGCGUCCUCCUUCUUUCUCUGAUUCCGAGGACGGAAUCCCUAUAAGGAGGGUAGAUUGUAGUGACCCGGACUUUUAAAUAUUUUUAUUAAUAUUAUAAAUGAUUUUCUUAAAAAGGAAAGGAAUAAGAUGUAAUAUUUUAUUCCAGUUUAAUGAGUUUUCAAAGUUUUAUAUUUAAACCCCGGGUUAUUGUGUUAUUGAUAAAUAAUUGUAUUUUCAAAACUGAUUUUCAUAUAUUGUUUUGAAAAUUCUGUAUGAAUAUUAUGUGAAUAUAUGUGUUAUGUGAUUAAGUGGUAUUGGUGAAUUUGUUUGUUAAUUAGUUAUGAUUAAUUAUUAAUAUUACAUGAUUAAUAUAUGAAUUUUUGUGAAUUUUGUGUUAUCUAGUUUAUUGAGCUGAAUGCUCGUAUGUGUUCGUAUUCGUGAGAUUUCAAUUUCUAUAUGCUCAGAAUGAGAUAUAGUUUAUUUGGGUAUUUUCAUAUUGAUUUAUGGAAUGUUAGAUGAUUUUAUAAUCGAUUUACGGAUUUAAUUGCGUAUAUGUAUAUUUAUUUAUUAAUUAUUUGACUUCCGUAAAACCGUCCACUCGUAACGGGGUAGCAAAUUUUCUUCCCGGAAGUUUCAACAAAACUCACCUUUAGCCUAAUUUGAAUAUUCCGGACAUUUUUCGUGUUUUGACUUUUUCGAUCCGGAGUACGGUUUUCCCCGUAGUCGGUCCGGCGGAGUUUUUCGGGUAUUUUAAUUGUUGAUAAUUAUCUGGUUGUCUCGAUAAACGUGAAACUAGAUAUUUUGAUUCAUCCUUAUCUUGUAAUAAUUGCAGUGGGACCCGCAUACUAAUGACUGAUUAAAAAGCCCCGUUUUGAUGAUUAUCGUGAAAACCAGUACCGAUUGGACCCCGCUUUAUUAAUAUAAAGCUAUUAAAUACGUAUUUUCAUGUCAUAAACGAUCCAAAGGGGUACCAAUUAUUUGUAAAUAUAAAUAGACUUUUCUAUAGCUGAUUUUCACCCGUAAAAUCAUUUCACCAGUUUCUCUGCACGAAUACCGAGAGAAACCGAAGUGUGUUCUUCGUGUUCUUCGUAAUCAAACGAGGAUUUGGAGGUGUUAUUGGAAUCCGAUGGAGGCGUAUGAAUAGUCAAAACGAAGCUCUCGACGCGUAGAAUAUAGUAUAAUCAACUAUAACGCUGCAGAUUCAUCAGGAUUUGGAGGAGACGUGUACGCUCGAAGACGUCAGAAAGUCGGAAUGGUAUUGCAAAGCGAAUAAGGGAUGAAUCGAGUAAGCGAAGCGAUGUGGCGAAUAGAGUAUAGCUAGAGAUGGUCUAGAGAUUACGAAAUGCAUAGAUUGUGAAAGUUGAAAGAUGAGAAUGAGCUGUGAAACUGGAGUCAGAUUUAAGAAAGGCUUAAAGAUGAGAUGAUUGAUUGAGGUUGUGGAUAAGGCUAAUGCUAGGCGAGGAGACAAGGUUGAGGAUCCAGUGGUCGAGGAGUGUUCAGGAAAGUUGAUGAGGUUGGUGCAAGCUAGAGCUGUGCUAUAGAGAUUCAAGUGUAAGUCAUAGCUGGAAUAGUUGACAGUGAUUCUUCUUAUCGAAGAUGAUCUGAUUUGGUAAGAGAUGUUGUGUAAUAAUAGUGGUAGAUUCUAAUUUCAAUACUGUAACCUGGAUGCGAUCCUGUUGCUUUUAGGGGGUUUAAAUGUUCUCUUUCGAAUCAUUUAUUAAAGUUUAAAUGUUCUCUUGAAAUUCUCUUAUUAUGGCUUUUAAGUUUGAAAUUCAGGUUUUGAAAUCAUUUGAUUUAUGUUCUCAUUCAAAUCUUUUAUUAAAUGUUUUCAGGUUUGAAAUUCUUUUGGUUUUAUUAUCUUAAAAAAAAGAAAAUACAGGUUUUCAAAAGUGUUUAAAAAUGGGUUUUAUGUGGUGACGUCAGAAUCCAGGCCCCCGGAUUCCUGGACUGUCACAGUUGGUAUCAGAGCGACAGGUUACAAGUUAUUGAAAUUUGAAUAUGGAUUAUAGUCUUAAGGUUUCUAGAAAAGAAAGUUGUGUAACCUCACAUAGAGGUAUGGUUAGACUAUUUGGGAAUAGUCUAGUGAUGUGAGUGAAGCAUAGAAUCUGGUUAGACGAUCAAGCUGAGUGUAUAGGGUUAGAGAGAUUUUGAUUCCUAAGUUAGACAUAUGAUUUCUAGUAUGUUGACUAAUUGAGAUGAUGAAUUGUGAGAAAAGUCUAGAGUAGACCUAGAUAGAAGAGUUUGAUAAUGAAUGAUUGAGUUAAGAAUGGUGAAGAUGCAGACUUCAGAGUAUUCUGACUAUACUGCAUAUUUGAAAAUGGUUUAUUGUUUUAAGUUGAAAACGAUAAAGAUGCAUGGUUAAUGGUAUUCUGACCAUGUAGGAUAUCUGAAUGUGGUUUAUUGUUUUGAGUUAAGAUAUUGAAGAAGGAGUGUAAGAUAUGAGUUAUGUUGGAUUAGAAGGGGGAGUUGUAGAUAGAGGUUGAUAGAUGAGAAGUGAAUGAUAAAAAGUAUGUGGAAUUGAGUGUAGUUAUUAGGGGAGAUGUCGGUGAGUAAGUUAGAACGUUAGUCCUCGACGACAACGCUUUAAGCUAAUCGGGACUUCAAACGACAUCAAGGUGGGCCCAUAACCCACAGGUUGAUGAUCCAGAAAAUCGAUGAUAUGCUACGCGUUGUGCUAUGGACUUCAAAGGCAACUGGAUGAAACAUGAGGACGUGAACUACUUGGGCCAGACUUAUUAUGAACGAUAACGUCUACGAUGACAUCUUACGAGGCUAUUACGAGUCAAAUCGAUUGAUUAUCGAGAACGUUGAAAGGAUGACAUAAAUCGAAUAACGAUUUCGUAAAGUAGAGUGGGAAUUUGAUAAGACCUUGGCAAUACCUCUCUUCAACUAAAGAUUCUUUUGAUUAUGUUCUUCAUCAGUGAGUUAUUAUGAUAUCAUUUCGAUAAAUGAGAUCUUCAAUUUCUCAAAUUCUAAGAUGACAUUGAUAUUGACUAUUGGUGUGAGUUGGUAUUGAUUUGAUGGGUGAUAAAGGUUUGAUGUGAAAAGACAGUGAUGUUCCUUGAUAUUGUUUGAUACUCCAUGACAUUCCUUGAUAUUCUUUUAUAUUUCUUGAUAUUCUUGAUAUUUUUUUUUUUACAUUUCUUCGCGAUAUUUGAUAUUCCUUGACAAUCUCUGAUAUUCCUUGAUAUUUCUUCCAUCUGAUUGGGAUGAACAACCCUACGUAUAGGGGACACAAGGUAUACCUGUCUGUGUGAUAGGAGUUGGAUGGGACGCCAUCACUUGUGUGUGUUGUGAUUACAAGAAGGUUAACAACCUUUAGUAGUGUCUAAUAUGGACACGCAACAUUAAGUUCAUUUGAUCGUAUUGAUCUCCCAGUCACUCUUGUAUUCCAAUGUGACCUACUUUGAAAGCAUCUUGUUCCUCCAAAAAUCCCAAAGAUUGAUUCUUGGGAAACGAAUUUGGCAAUUGUGAAAGUUUUAAUUCUCCUGUAUUUUUAAAAGCUAAAGGUAUGCCAAGAUUGAUCAAAAGGUGGAUGACGAUAGGAUAUUACGAAGUAUGUACGUUUUAGUUUCUUCGGAGGAUUCCGAGGACGGAAUCCUUAUAAGGGGGGUAAAAUGUAAUAUCCCAUAUUAUUAAAUUUAGAUUUGAUUAUUAUAAAUCUAUUUGUCUAGAUAUUAUUGUUGCCUCUAAUUGAAUAUUGAUGUGAUUAUGUGAAUAGUUGUAUGUGAUUAUACUUGUUUCGUGGAUUAAUAUGGAUUUUACAGAUUCUGCGUCCUCCUUCUUUCUCUGAUUCCGAGGACGGAAUCCCUAUAAGGAGGGUAGAUUGUAGUGACCCGGACUUUUAAAUAUUUUUAUUAAUAUUAUAAAUGAUUUUCUUAAAAAGGAAAGGAAUAAGAUGUAAUAUUUUAUUCCAGUUUAAUGAGUUUUCAAAGUUUUAUAUUUAAACCCCGGGUUAUUGUGUUAUUGAUAAAUAAUUGUAUUUUCAAAACUGAUUUUCAUAUAUUGUUUUGAAAAUUCUGUAUGAAUAUUAUGUGAAUAUAUGUGUUAUGUGAUUAAGUGGUAUUGGUGAAUUUGUUUGUUAAUUAGUUAUGAUUAAUUAUUAAUAUUACAUGAUUAAUAUAUGAAUUUUUGUGAAUUUUGUGUUAUCUAGUUUAUUGAGCUGAAUGCUCGUAUGUGUUCGUAUUCGUGAGAUUUCAAUUUCUAUAUGCUCAGAAUGAGAUAUAGUUUAUUUGGGUAUUUUCAUAUUGAUUUAUGGAAUGUUAGAUGAUUUUAUAAUCGAUUUACGGAUUUAAUUGCGUAUAUGUAUAUUUAUUUAUUAAUUAUUUGACUUCCGUAAAACCGUCCACUCGUAACGGGGUAGCAAAUUUUCUUCCCGGAAGUUUCAACAAAACUCACCUUUAGCCUAAUUUGAAUAUUCCGGACAUUUUUCGUGUUUUGACUUUUUCGAUCCGGAGUACGGUUUUCCCCGUAGUCGGUCCGGCGGAGUUUUUCGGGUAUUUUAAUUGUUGAUAAUUAUCUGGUUGUCUCGAUAAACGUGAAACUAGAUAUUUUGAUUCAUCCUUAUCUUGUAAUAAUUGCAGUGGGACCCGCAUACUAAUGACUGAUUAAAAAGCCCCGUUUUGAUGAUUAUCGUGAAAACCAGUACCGAUUGGACCCCGCUUUAUUAAUAUAAAGCUAUUAAAUACGUAUUUUCAUGUCAUAAACGAUCCAAAGGGGUACCAAUUAUUUGUAAAUAUAAAUAGACUUUUCUAUAGCUGAUUUUCACCCGUAAAAUCAUUUCACCAGUUUCUCUGCACGAAUACCGAGAGAAACCGAAGUGUGUUCUUCGUGUUCUUCGUAAUCAAACGAGGAUUUGGAGGUGUUAUUGGAAUCCGAUGGAGGCGUAUGAAUAGUCAAAACGAAGCUCUCGACGCGUAGAAUAUAGUAUAAUCAACUAUAACGCUGCAGAUUCAUCAGGAUUUGGAGGAGACGUGUACGCUCGAAGACGUCAGAAAGUCGGAAUGGUAUUGCAAAGCGAAUAAGGGAUGAAUCGAGUAAGCGAAGCGAUGUGGCGAAUAGAGUAUAGCUAGAGAUGGUCUAGAGAUUACGAAAUGCAUAGAUUGUGAAAGUUGAAAGAUGAGAAUUAGCUGUGAAACUGGAGUCAGAUUUAAGGCAAGUAUCCUAAACCUUUCUCUUGGAUAUAUUGCAAAUAUUCUGAUCCAUUCCUUUGGUAUAUGUUUCAAGUAUUCAUACCUUUCUUUUCAAUGUUCGAAAGUGCGAGUAUUCUGACCCAUUCUUUCUAAUCUUCAAGUUUCUAAAGAAUUUCCGUUUUACAAAUUAAUUCGAAGUUCAGAUUGUCAUUGAAGCAUGUGUUGCUCAGUGGUAGUUAGAGCUUUGAAUGAAUUGGGAUCUUCUUGAUUAUUCAACCCGCCAUUGUCAUGCUGGUUUAGCAGGCUAAAUUCAGUAAACUUAGCCGAUAAUGGAGGAUACUGAAUAGUUAGGGAUUUCCUGAACUAUGAUUUAUGAAAGGAUGGAUUGUGGCUUAUGAAAAGUUGAUUAUCAAAGUUUGAUUUGGAAUUAUUCUCUCAUUGAUAUUGAUUGGGUUUAUGUUCUGUUGACCUGUUAUCGAAUUAGAGAAUUGGAUUAUUGUUUUUAUAUAAAUCUGUGGACCAGAUGAGUGGUCAUGUUAGGCCAAUGAGUGCCUUGGAUCCAGUGAUAGAGCAUGGCGGGGCCUGCUCGGGGUUAGUGCGGAACUGAUCAGCUGCCUAACCUUGGUUUUUAAUUAAAAUGUGAUAGUCCAAUUCAAUAAUUCUCUUGUGAAGGAUUGAAUUCCUCAGGUUUCUAUUGCUGCAAGGUAUUGUGAUUCUUUUAUACAAUACCUGAAUUUGUGAACUCAGGUUGAAUCUUUUUAUAUCUUGAACUCGAGAAUUUCUGUUAUAUCACUUCAGAACUUUCAUUGUUAUUAUUACUUGCUGAGCAUUGUUUGCUCACCCUUGCUAUUCCUUUCUAACCA